rnacentral:rRNA from 1 species
CCUACGGGAGGCAGCAGUGAGGAAUAUUGGUCAAUGGACGCAAGUCUGAACCAGCCAUGCCGCGUGCAGGAAGACGGCCCUAUGAGUUGUAAACUGCUUUUGUACGGGGGCAAACGCAGACACGUGUAUCUGUCUGAAAGUAUCGUACGAAUAAGGAACGGCGAAACCCGGUUCAGCAGCCGCGGGUAUUCGGAGGAAUCAAGCGUUAUCCGGGUUUAUUGGGGUUAAAAGGGUCGUAGGCGGUCGUAUAAAGUCGAGGUGAAAUAUCGAGGCUUAACUUCCGAAGUGCCUUUGAUACUGUUGGUCUAGAGAGUACUUGCGGUAUGCGGAAUGUAUGGUGUAGCGGUGAAAUGCAUAGAGAUCAUACAGAACACCGAUUGCGAAGGCAGCUUACCGGGCUACUUCUGACGCUGAGGCACGAAAGCGUGGGGAGCAAACAGGAUUAGAUACCCCAGUAGUC